rnacentral:rRNA from 1 species
CCUACGGGCGGCACCAGUGGGGAAUAUUACACAAUGGGCGCAAGCCUGAUGCAGCCAUGCCGCGUGUAUGAAGAAGGCCUUCGGGUUGUAAAGUACUUUCAGCGGGGAGGAAGGCGAUAAGGUUAAUAACCUUGUCGAUUGACGUUACCCGCAGAAGAAGCACCGGCUAACUCCGUGCCAGCAGCCGCGGUAAUACGGAGGGUGCAAGCGUUAAUCGGAAUUACUGGGCGUAAAGCGCACGCAGGCGGUUGAUUGAGUCAGAUGUGAAAUCCCCGGGCUUAACCCGGGAAUUGCAUCUGAUACUGGUCAGCUAGAGUCUUGUAGAGGGGGGUAGAAUUCCAUGUGUAGCGGUGAAAUGCGUAGAGAUGUGGAGGAAUACCGGUGGCGAAGGCGGCCCCCUGGACAAAGACUGACGCUCAGGUGCGAAAGCGUGGGGAGCAAACAGGAUUAGAUACCCCAGUAG